rnacentral:lncRNA from 1 species
CCCUCUACUCCAACUCUUCUUUAUUAUGGGAUGGGAUGUCUCCGAAGGGACUCUACAGUCCACACCUCUCUCUACUUACUUUCCCUUGUUUGGUAUCUCUCCUGAGUCAUGACUUGGAUCCUCUCUGCUCCCUCUUCUUCUUUGCUCACGAUUUUGCAUGCUUUUCAUGGAUGUGUGUAAGGAGAAAUCCCCUUCAAUGGCGGAGCCGUUGACCGAGGACUUUGCCGAGUUGAGGCUAUCGGACGAGAUGUCGGCGCCGGAUUUAGAUAGCGGCGCCGGAGGGAAGGACGGCGCCGGGUUCUUGAGCUUUGUUGGUGUCUUACUUCCCUCUCUCUCUCUCUCUCUCUCUCUCUCUCUCUCUCUCUCUCUCUCUCUCUCUCAUUAUUAGUUCCCUCAUCAUGAGAACCAAA